rnacentral:rRNA from 1 species
UACGGAGGGUGCAAGCGUUAUCCGGAUUCACUGGGUUUAAAGGGUGCGUAGGUGGGCAGUUAAGUCAGUGGUGAAAUCUCCGGGCUCAACCCGGAAACUGCCAUUGAUACUAUCUGUCUUGAAUAUCGUGGAGGUAAGCGGAAUAUGUCAUGUAGCGGUGAAAUGCUUGGAUAUGACAUAGAACACCAAUUGCGAAGGCAGCUUACUACCCGAAUAUUGACACUGAGGCACGAAAGCGUGGGGAUCAAACAGG